UGGCUAUCCAGAUAUCAAGUCCAUCUGCACCAUAGGGAUAAUCUUGAAAGAGAAGCUCGAUGUUUUCUGGCUGAUUCGGGUUAUAUCUGGCAAAGCCUCUGAGAAAUGUUUUCAUAGAACAGAAGACGGGAGGCUUUGCUCAUCGAAUCUCCAGCUUCUGUACAGAAACGACGAGAGCUCCAUUGAGAUGUCACCGGUAAACAGUAUCUUUUCAAAAAUUCCUCCAGCAUUUAGCAACAUGCUCCUUGCCAGUGCAUUUACUUGCAUGGUGUCUUUGAAAUGAGGUUCGAGUAACCGGUGAAUGGGGUGCAUAACACUCAACUUCCUUCGAGUUGCAAUGAUAAAUGGCUCAACAACAGCAUGUGCAUUUAGCCUAGAAAAAUUUGAACUGCUUCAGAAAAUGGUUUCAAAGUACUCGGAUCAGAGUGAAAUAGCAUGAUUGUUUCAUUGCUCACCAAUGGCUGACUAGAUGAUGGUAAACUGAAUCUGCUGCUGCUACAUGAGCUUUUGCUAGUUGCCAGAGAGCAGCUUCUGUCCCGUCAUGUGCUGGACGGAAAACUCUGCUAAUUUCCUCGUGGGACAAAGAGCCAGGCAAGCUCAGUUCUAUGGCUACUGGUUUUAGCGUGCAAUCGUCUCUCAAGAAGAGUAGCGUGCGCGAUGCAUAAGCACAUACACCCUCAUCUCUGUUUAUUCUCGUCAAGAAUGGCAUCAGAUAAUCGUGGUGAUCUAGCUUGAAAAGUCUCCACUGGUUCAUUGCCUGCAUUAUUGUAGAAGAUGAAGAUCGUACAGAGGUAUUGUAUUAUAUAUCAUCUUCCAAGUUAAAUAUUUCUUUGGCGAAGAAUUUGAAUUCUUUUCCUGCUCAAUUUUCAGUUAACGACAUAACCAGUCACUUGAACAUAGCUGCAUUCAAAUCAAGAUUUGGUCCUUUCUACCUCUGCAACUGUCAGACCAUCAAGGUUAUGCUCUAUGUCGGAUCCCUUUAUCGAACUCUUGACUCCAUUGCUGCCGUCUGGUGGGAAAUUCUGCAAUAUAGAGAAAACAUAGAUUUUCUUGUCUACCUGCAGAGAUGAAAUUACAGUUGGAUUAGUUCCAGCAAGCAUCUGCCGUCCAAAUUCAUCGUCAUCCAUCCAUGCAAAUUGGUUCCCUGCAACACAUAACAUCUAAAUAUGUCCCGAUUCUGAUCAUAGUUUUGCAUCCAGUGAUUAAGCUGCAUUACCUGCUGCAAUCCGAGGCAAUUGGAACUUAACAGCCUAUGAAUCUGAUCGAAGGACUCAAAGUGGCUCGUUUCUUGGUUGAAGAUUGCUCCUGCUUCAGGCAUCACAAAAUGGACAGCAGCCCUGACCGCGUUUGUUGUGAAUUCCGAGAGUUUCUGUUGGCUGAAACGUUCAUCUGGAGGUACCGUAGUUGUUUGAAGGGCGACCAGUUCUCAACCUACGCGGAUAUGGAAACGACUGCGUUCCACCUAAAACAGGUCUUCCAUAUCCAAGGCUUCUUUCAGUUCCAUCAGAGAAGGCGGUGUUUGGUUUGGUAGAUAACACUAACAAUGAAAACACGCUAAAAAUCGCGUUACACCCAUUUGAUAUAAGCAGGUAAAAUGCAUCAAGAAGUGCUAUCUAUAACCAACUCACCGUGUUUGGGAAGAAAACACGAUCUUGUUUGGUUAAGUGGAAAGGAUAGAUCCACGAGUUGCAUUCGAAAUGAACUAUGUGGUUGUUGUCUCCUUGCAGAGACACAUUUUGAAGGAAAAACUCGUGUUUGUGCUCGUUUUUCACGACGAAUGCUCCUGGAGCCCCGAAGUCUGGCUCAACGUUGAACUCUACUUCAUACCUCAGAACUUUUGUUCUGGAGCUGCUGUCUGUUUCCUCGUCGAUGCUUCCUUUUUGGAGAGCGGCUUUCUGCGUAAGUUUCCCUUUUCCAGUGCCUAAUACUAAAACAACAUCAGUAGCAGACCAAACAUAUCUAGAUUCUCGUAGAGAAGAAUAAACGUGACAUAGAUGCUGCACUAGACACAUUUUUUAAUUGCAGGGGCCAGUGAAUGUGGUAUUCCGUCAAAGUGUAGGCAGGGGUGUGCGGAAUACCACUUUUCACGCGCCCUACGAAGGUGCCACGUGGCGAGAUUUGAAGCUGGACUCAAGCUUUUAUGGUUAAGAUUGAGCUCAGUUUGUUCAUCAAAAGAUAGAAUUUUGAUCAGUUUCUUCUUUUCCAAAUUGCAAUAUGAGUAGCUCUUGAAUAACUUGAUUCAUUUACAGUGCUACUUAACUCAAAAGGGGUUUAUGUUUAAAAGAUAAUCCGAACUUUAACCUUAUGGUGACCUUUUAGUCCGAAUUUAUAAUUAUUGCAAAUAUAGUAUGUACUUAUCUUUAUUGUUCAGUUUAUUGCUCGAGUCAAAAAUUUAUGAUUAAUUGAGUUAUGUACAUCUAGACAUCUAGUUAUUUGAGUUAUGAUCCUUUGAAUUAUGUAUAUUUAUAAUUUCGACUAAAAAGUCACAUUGAGGUCAAAGUUCGGCAUAUUUCAUAAGGAGGUGGUCUUGGAUACAACUGGGUGUACUGUACAAAUCGAUUUGCACCCUCACUUAGACCCUGACACGCACCCUGAUUUGAACCCGUAUUCUAACCCAAACCGUGCGGGUCAACUCGGUUGUAUGGUACACCCAGUUGUACCCAAGUUUUUUUUGUGUUUCAUAAGAAUAUAACCAUAGGCAAAAUGAGUGAACCAUGAACUAAAAAGUUAUAACUUCGAAUACCGAACUCACCGGGAUCAACGUUGGAAUCGCUAUACAACCAAACUGAGGCUGCUUUUCCGGGGCCUGACUCUCCAUGGCCUACCUGGAUGAUGAUCUCUCCGUAUACGAUGUUCUUCCCGGGAGUGCCGAAACUCCGAACUUUUCUGGCGGCCACGUCACCUUGGCACAGGCUCAGGCACCGGGCGAGGCUUGAACACAAGCCUCGCCGUGUUGCUCUCUGUCCGUGCCUUUUCUUCAUCUUGCUAUACUCAUGGGUUGUGGACUCCAAAGUUUUUAAAGGCAUUGAUAUUUAGUAUCAUGUUCAAGAAAGGAAGUGUGUGCAAAUCUUGCGAUUUGAGGAAAGGAUCGGAUUCAUUCACUUCUUUGGACUUCCAUUUUUAGCUUCUCGAGUUGUAAAUGUAUAGGUUUUAAUGAAUUGCAGUGGUAAUAUAUUAUUAUUGCGAUGUCUUUAUUUUGGAAA